AACGAACGCUGGCGGCAUGCCUAACACAUGCAAGUCGAACGAAGGCUUCGGCCUUAGUGGCGCACGGGUGCGUAACGCGUGGGAAUCUGCCCUUAGGUUCGGAAUAACAGUUAGAAAUGACUGCUAAUACCGGAUGAUGACGUAAGUCCAAAGAUUUAUCGCCUGAGGAUGAGCCCGCGUAGGAUUAGCUAGUUGGUGUGGUAAAGGCGCACCAAGGCGACGAUCCUUAGCUGGUCUGAGAGGAUGAUCAGCCACACUGGGACUGAGACACGGCCCAGACUCCUCCGGGAGGCAGCAGUGGGGAAUAUUGGACAAUGGGCGCAAGCCUGAUCCAGCAAUGCCGCGUGAGUGAUGAAGGCCUUAGGGUUGUAAAGCUCUUUUACCCGUGAUGAUAAUGACAGUAGCGGGAGAAUAAGCCCCGGCUAACUCCGU
rnacentral:rRNA from 1 species